ACUCCCUCUCUGGGACCCAGAUGCCAGCAGCAGAAACUUCUAGGGCGUCGGUGGUAGGAACUUGUGGGACGAGUUGAACAGAGAGCUCUGGGUGACUCCAUUGUUAAAAAUAUGAUUGGAUGGUGCAGAACCAAACUAAAACUAAAUAAACUAUUUACAAUACCGGUGCCAGACAUAACCGAGGCCUGCCAUCCCCUCUAGACGCUGAGGCUGGAGAGAUGAGGGGUGCUAACUAACUGAAUAAAACUAAACUAUUUACAAUAUGCACAUAUCCCUAGGCAAGUAGCUCUGCAAGUCGCUAAAACUACCGCCUCAAGCCAAGGCGCCAGACGCAACCCAGGCCUGCCAGCCCCGCAAGACGCUGAGGAUGGAGAAAUGGAGGGAUCAUCUGUGUCAGCCCGCCAGACGCAAGCCUAAACUCUCUCUAUGACCUGAAACACAAUUAGAAAGCAUUUUUCAUAAGAUAUAAAAAUUACAUCUGUCCCAUAUAUAAGGAUUGAGUAUAUGACAGUUACAGCAGUACUGAAUGGUAAUGUAAAGAAGCUGAUGUCCAUAUUCAGAUAAUCAAGCCAAAUUAACAAAAAGCCCAAAAAUAGGCAGAUAUAAAUAUAUCUUAAAAAUCAUUUUAGCUUGUCUUAGACUCUGUACCUUGAACCAGUCAUGGGAGAGUAUCUCAUUGGGUUGCUCUUCAAGCAACCUCGAAUAAAGCGGCAACAUUCUGUGCAGAAAGACUGAGAGUUGUCUAAUCAUUUCCUUCAACUUUACACUUGCUCUCUAAGCUGUAAAAAUGGCAAACAUUCCUGCAUUAUCCAUAAGAACAUAUUUUUUGGUUCUAACCAUCUGAGAAGUUCAGCUGGAACCAGACAUCAGAGUCUCCGCUGUCUGGGAAACGGCGGCCGAUCACGGGGCGAACAGCAGCAGCCCCAGCGACCACACCGUUGCCUGCUUCCCAUAGUACUCGCCCUUCUCAAAGUACUCAGGAGGGCAAUACCUUGCUGUGCCUGUAGAUGUGUAAGCUAGCUUUAUUGACUAGCCAGUAUUGACUAUUCUUUGAGAGGUUUGUUAGUGUGUUGUUAAUAUCUCACUGUGUGAUGAUGUCUGAUUAAGACAUGGCGUAAUUGGUCACUAGAGUUUAAAUCCUAAAAAUAUGUUUUAAAGAUAACACAUACCAGUGUAGUUUUUGUAGGAUGAGCUUUGCAUGAGGUCCCCGCAGCCGAAAUCGAUCAAUUUGACCUCCAGGGUCUCUGUGUUGACUAGGAGGUUCGGCAUUUUGAUGUCUCGAUGCAGAACACCCCUAGAACAGCACAGGACAGCAGCUUCGAUCACCUGCCGCAUGAAGUGACAGGUCAACUUCUCGCUGAAGCGGCCUCCAGAUUGCAGCCAAAAGCUGUGCAUGUCCAUGCAGGGUGAGGGCCGCUAGGACCAUGAUGUACUGCUCGCGAAGGUCCUGCCACUCCAGCAGCUUUAUAAUGUGGCGACAGCAUGGGCCUUGAUUGGCCAUUGCUGUCAGGGCCACCUCAAGGGGAGGGGGAACAGGACUACUGGAAGGAGGUUCCUGAUGAUCAUUAUCCUCUACAGUAAAGAUGAUGUCCUGUAAAGAAGCUGAUCUAAAGAGAGGAAUAUCAACCACAAGCUUGUUUUAAAUUAUAUCAUCCGUAACAUCUUCAAACUACAUUUGAUCUAUAUUCAAACAUUCAUCACAUCGUGGAUUAAAGUAAUUUAUCUGCCUUUUCAUAAUGUGUUAUGUGGGGUUUUUUUUAUAUCGUGUGUAAAUGAUUAAGAUAGUUUGUGUUGUCCAGAGCUCAUCGUUUACCAUCAGUACACCUCCUGGAUGGGGCUUCAUCAGUGUCCUGGUCCAUAGACUGCUCCACCUGCUCAUCCUGAGCUUUGGUGGACUUGGGGCGAGACGAACACAAGAAAAAAGAGGCAAACCUCCGAAAGGUCCUCUUUUUCUGCCUCUUAUUUGUUUUCUCUGUCCCUCUCUGCUUUCUCUCCUGCCCGCCUCUCUCACCGAUGACCAGCGGCGUCUCGUCAGGACGAGGAUGGAGCUCCGCCUUGUGUUCGGUGAUUUGGCUGAAGGGCGUGGUCAUACACCUGAAGGUCAUCAUGCUGCUCAAUAAAAGACUGGGACUGAGAUGAGAGCAGGAGAGUCGGUUGAGCUUGUGCUCUUUUUGUUCGCUUGGGGGUACUUUGGGGUUCAUGUCACGAGGAUGAGGACUCGUUGAGAGGUUUGGAGUAUGGGAGAUCACCACCGUCGCUUGAGCCACCUCAUGUGGGAUAUCUGUUGUCGCUGAACGUUUCAUGGACUGAGAUGGGCUGGACUGCUGUUGUUCAUAAGUACACCUAUGCAUCUGCUGACACCCUGAUUAUCAUUUAUACUGAUCAUUAAUGUUGUUCUGUCUUUCAUGGAUAAAUAAACUCAUGAAUUAUGA